rnacentral:rRNA from 1 species
AGAAUCAACGCUGGCGGCGUGCCUAACACAUGCAAGUCGAACGAGAAAGUGGUAGCAAUACCAUGAGUAAAGUGGCGCACGGGUGAGUAACACGUGACUAACCUACCCUUGAGUGGGGAAUAACCUGGAGAAAUCCGGGCUAAUACCGCAUAACACCUACGGGUCAAAGGAGCAAUUCGCUUAAGGAGGGGGUCGCGGCAGAUUAGCUAGUUGGCGGGGUAAUGGCCCACCAAGGCGGUGAUCUGUAUCCGGCCUGAGAGGGCGCACGGACACACUGGAACUGAAACACGGUCCAGACUCCUACGGGAGGCAGCAGUGGGGAAUUUUGCGCAAUGGGGGAAACCCUGACGCAGCAACGCCGCGUGGAGGAUGAAGUCUCUUGGGACGUAAACUACUUUCGAUCGGGACGAUAAUGACGGUACCGAGAGAAGAAGCCCCGGCUAACUUCGCGCCAGCAGCCGC